GAUGAACGUUGGCGGCGUGCCUAAUACAUGCGAGUCGAGCGAACAGACGAGGAGCUUGCUCCUCUGACGUUAGCGGCGGACGGGUGAGUAACACGUGGAUAACCUACCUAUAAGACUGGGAUAACUUCGGGAAACCGGAGCUAAUACCGGAUAAUAUAUUGAACCGCAUGGUUCAAUAGUGAAAGACGGUUUUGCUGUCACUUAUAGAUGGAUCCGCGCCGCAUUAGCUAGUUGGUAAGGUAACGGCUUACCAAGGCAACGAUGCGUAGCCGACCUGAGAGGGUGAUCGGCCACACUGGAACUGAGACACGGUCCAGACUCCUACGGGAGGCAGCAGUAGGGAAUCUUCCGCAAUGGGCGAAAGCCUGACGGAGCAACGCCGCGUGAGUGAUGAAGGUCUUCGGAUCGUAAAACUCUGUUAUUAGGGAAGAACAAAUGUGUAAGUAACUAUGCACGUCUUGACGGUACCUAAUCAGAAAGCCACGGCUAACUACGUG
rnacentral:rRNA from 1 species